GUAAAAGGCACGUACAUCGUACAAUAUAAGAACGCAGAACAUGAUGCUCGUCUGAUGAAGUUUUACAACCAACCACAUAUACUACAUCAGAAAACAGAUUAAGGACCAUCAGACAAGAACCGAAAAGAAAUAGAGACAAAAAAUGGACAGGAAAA
rnacentral:lncRNA from 1 species